GUUUCCAGGAAAUGAUGUCGAACCGGAAGAUCUGCUGCAAACUUUUUCCAAGAUGGCGUUGUGAUUGAUGCCGUUUGUGUUUACAUUGAAGUAAUAGCGAGCAAUCCAAUAGAGAUGUUGUAGUUUCGAAAAGCAAAAUACUGGGCUGAUGGGACGCAGCCUUUCUUUUUAAAGUAUCCAAAGUCCAGUCAUCACAAUGGCAGCACCGGUUAAUGUGCAGAAUCCCAGCAAAACCUGGGAACUAAGCUUGUAUGAACUUCACAGGACACCACAGGAAGCAAUAAUGGAUGGCACAGAGAUUGCUGUUUCACCCCGUAGCCUACAUAGUGAACUGAUGUGUCCUAUUUGUCUGGACAUGUUAAAAAACACUAUGACAACAAAAGAGUGUUUACAUCGUUUCUGUUCUGACUGUAUUGUCACAGCACUACGAAGUGG